UACGGAGGGGGCUAGCGUUGUUCGGAAUUACUGGGCGUAAAGCGCGCGUAGGCGGACCUGCAAGUCGGGGGUGAAAGCCCGAGGCUCAACCCUGAACUGCCUUCGAUACUGCGGGUCUCGAGUCCGGGAGAGGUGAGUGGAAUUCCUAGUGUAGAGGUGAAAUUCGUAGAUAUUAGGAAGAACACCAGUGGCGAAGGCGGCUCACUGGCCCGGUACUGACGCUGAGGCGCGAAAGCGUGGGGAGCAAACAGG
rnacentral:rRNA from 1 species